UGCGUGCUGUAAUAAGCCACGUGGUUAGACUGCCGGACUAUAGAAUUCUUCAUUAGAAAAGGAGUCUGUUUACUAACAAGUACGUAAUUGCUCAACGGGUGACACAUUUGGCACUUUGAGGUCUACUACACCUUGUUCACUUGUCAAGGGGUUUUGUACUUGUUUGUAAUGUGUGAAUCUCUCUCUAUAGAAGUCUUUCUCUAAUACAGGAGACCUAGGUGUUU
rnacentral:lncRNA from 1 species